rnacentral:rRNA from 1 species
GACGAACGCUGGCGGCGCGCUUAACACAUGCAAGUCGAGCGAAGCGGCGGACGGGUGAGUAACCCGUGAGUAACCUGCCUUAGACAUUGGGAUAGCCUCGGGAAACCGGGAUUAAUACCAAAUGGUCUAAGAUGGACUCGCGUCCCAUUAGCUAGUUGGUGGGUAACGGCCCACCAAGGCGACGCUGGGUAGCCGGCCCGAGAGGGUGGACGGCCACAUUGGAACUGAGAAACGGUCCAAACUCUACGGGUCGCAGCAGGGGGGAAUAUGGCACAAUGGAGGGAAGUCUGAGGCAGCGAGGCCGCGUGAACGAAGAAGGCGUUCGAGUCGUAAAGUUCUUUUAUAUGGGAAGCGGUACCAAAAGAAAAAGCCCCGGCUAACUACGUGCCAGCAGCCGCGGUAAUUC